rnacentral:hammerhead_ribozyme from 1 species
AUCCAGCUGACGAGUCCCAAAUAGAACAGAAACGCGGGUCCUGGAU